rnacentral:rRNA from 1 species
GGAAUUGCUAGUAAUCGCGGAUCAGCAUGCCGCGGUGAAUACGUUCCCGGUCUUGUACACACCGCCCGUCACACCAUGGGAGUCGGAAAUGCCCGAAGUCUGUGACCCAACCUGAGAGGGAGGAGCAGCCGAAGGCAGGUCUGAUGACUGGGGUGAAGUCGUAACAAGGUACC